rnacentral:rRNA from 1 species
CCUACGGGAGGCAGCAGUAGGGAAUCUUCCACAAUGGGCGAAAGCCUGAUGGAGCAACGCCGCGUGGGUGAAGAAGGUCUUCGGAUCGUAAAACCCUGUUGUUAGAGAAGAAAGUGCGUGAGAGUAACUGUUCACGUUUCGACGGUAUCUAACCAGAAAGCCACGGCUAACUACGUGCCAGCAGCCGCGGUAAUACGUAGGUGGCAAGCGUUAUCCGGAUUGAUUGGGCGUAAAGGUAACGCAGGCGGUCUUUUAAGUCUGAUGUGAAAGCCUUCGGCUUAACCGGAGUAGUGCAUUGGAAACUGGGAGACUUGAGUGCAGAAGAGGAGAGUGGAACUCCAUGUGUAGCGGUGAAAUGCGUAGAUAUAUGGAAGAACACCAGUGGCGAAAGCGGCUCUCUGGUCUGUAACUGACGCUGAGGUUCGAAAGCGUGGGUAGCAAACAGGAUUAGAUACCCUAGUAGUC